AUUGAACGCUGGCGGCAGGCCUAACACAUGCAAGUCGAGCGGGGUUUUCGGACCUAGCGGCGGACGGGUGAGUAAUGCGUAGGAAGCUGCCCGAUAGAGGGGGAUACCAGUUGGAAACGACUGUUAAUACCGCAUAAUGUCUACGGACCAAAGUGUGGGACCUUCGGGCCACAUGCUAUCGGAUGCGCCUACGUGGGAUUAGCUAGUUGGUGAGGUAAUGGCUAACCAAGGCGACGAUCUCUAGCUGGUUUGAGAGGAUGAUCAGCCACACUGGAACUGAACAACGGUCCAGAAUCCUACGGGAGGCAGCAGUGGGGAAUAUUGGACAAUGGGCGCAAGCCUGAUCCAGCCAUGCCGCGUGUGUGAAGAAGGCCUUCGGGUUGUAAAGCACUUUCAGCGAGGAGGAAGGGGUGUGUGUUAAUAGUACACACCUUUGACGUUACUCGCAGAAGAAGCACCGGCUAACUCUGUGCCAGCCGCCGCGGUAAUAC
rnacentral:rRNA from 1 species